UAAAUUUACUAGGGGAGCUAGUGCUCUGGCUGAGAAUGGAAAGAAAGUUCCUAAACCCUUGAACCUGAUAUGGUUAGAACCAUCGUAGGGAAGUGAUAAAUUAAAAAU
rfam:Clostridium paraputrificum strain 373-A1 CP373A1_40, whole genome shotgun sequence.